UGGCACUUAGUUUAAAAAAAACAAACGGUUUCGACCCGCUAGACUGCGAUUCAAGCUCGCAAGUACCAA